rnacentral:rRNA from 1 species
AAAGUCAACUCUUUCUUAACUUACACAUGCAAGUCUCAGCACCCCUGUGAGAACGCCCUUUAACUCCUCCAAGGGGUAAGGAGCCGGUAUCAGGCACAUAUCUUAGCCCAAGACACCUAGCUAUGCCACACCCACAAGGGAACUCAGCAGUGAUUAACAUUAAAUAUAAGCGACAGCUUGAUUCAGUUAAAGAAAACAGAGCCGGCAAAUCUGGUGCCAGCCGCCGCGGUUACACCACGUGGCUCAAGUUGACCUUGCUCGGCGUAAAGCGUGAUUUAAGAGAUCUGCCCAUGGUGUUAAAAAGAAACUAAGCCGUGACACGCUUGUCCCUAAGAAAACCUAAAACGAAAGUUACACCAACCGCACUAACUUGA